GCAUAGCUCAGUUGGUUAGGGCAUGAUAAUGCUAAGGUUGCAGGUUCAAUCCCUGUAUGGGACA